rnacentral:rRNA from 1 species
UACGGGGGGGCAAGCGUUGUUCGGAAUUACUGGGCGUAAAGCGCGUGUAGGCGGCCCUGUAAGUCGGGUGUGAAAUCCCACGGCUCAACCGAGGAAGUGCAUCCGAAACUGCGAGGCUCGAGUAUGGAAGAGGGUCGCAGAAUUCCCGGUGUAGAGGUGAAAUUCGUAGAUAUCGGGAGGAAUACCAGUGCGAAGGCGGCGACCUGGGCCAAUACUGACGCUGAGGUGCGAAAGCGUGGGGAGCAAACAGGG